UUAAACGGUAGGGUAUUGGCCUACCGUGGCAAUGACGGGUAACGGGGAAUUAGGGUUCGAUUCCGGAGAGGGAGCCUGAGAAACGGCUACCACAUCUAAGGAAGGCAGCAGGCGCGCAAAUUACCCAAUCCUAAUACAGGGAGGUAGUGACAAGAAAUAACAAUACAGGACUUUUUGGUUUUGUAAUGGAAUGAGCCCCAAAAACG
rnacentral:rRNA from 1 species